rnacentral:misc_RNA from 1 species
AAGUCGUAACAAGGUUUCCGUAGGUGAACCUGCGGAAGGAUCAUUAUUGAAUGAACUUGGAGUCGGUUGUCGCUGGCUGUCUUAUUUGGCAGCAUGUGCACGCCUUCUCUUUUCAUCCACACACACCCCUGUGCACUUGUGAGACUGGAGACCGGUAAAAAAAGUCUUCAGUCUGCUAAAUCCAUAUACAAACCCAUUUAAUUGAACUGAAUGUAAAUUGAUGUAACGCAUCUUUAAACUAAGUUUCAACAACGGAUCUCUUGGCUCUC